UUACUUAUUGCCUUUGAUUUGGAUGUGCUUACUUCAACCCUCUGUAACAUCUUUAUCCAAACUCUAAACUCAUCAAAUAAUAUAUAAAAAGUAUAGUCAAAGAAGUGCUCUCUUGAGUCCUAGUCUUUGAUUUCUUGUUGCUCUCCAUAAUCGUAUGUUAUGCCCCAAAGAGUGAUAGUAGGUAUGAAAUUGACACCUUAACUUUGAGCACCAAUAACUCCUUCAUAA
rnacentral:lncRNA from 1 species